UCGUGCUCUCUCUCUCUCUCUCUCUCUCACAAUCAAUAAACAUAAAAAUUUUUUUAAAAAUUCAAAAAUUGCCCUGCAAACUCUUUCUUUGAGAGUGUUUUCUAAAACAGAGAGAGAAACUGGGCUACAAUCUUACCAAUAAAUAUUUGUCGGCUUAUUAGACUAAAUGCGCCAGGUCCUUCACUGCCUACCUGAGUAUGAGAAUCACUGACUUCCUCUCUGGAAGCCCUUUCAGCUCUAACAUUCUGUGACCAUAAGGAAAGAAAGGUGCACGUAAGCUUAAUAUAAGCAGUCAGAGCCAUUCAGAAAUGUUAUGUGACUGGGGAGCACCUAUUAACUACAAGAAUUCAAGCAAACUCUUCUGGGCAUGCUAGAAAAAACCAGAGCUACAAUGAGCAAGGUGAGCUAGAAUGGAUGACUUCUGAGAAUCCUUCCAAAGAUUCUGUGAUUCAAUAAUGUGUCAAAAACACAGACACAGUCACUUCUUUUAGCUCUAAAAUUAUCAGGCAGUCAAAGAAGAUAAGUAGAUCUGCUAGUCAAAAGAGAAAAACAAUAGCUUUUUCUGUAAUAUUUCUAUGAAAAGGCAAAACAAUUAAUCGCCAAUAAUUUUUAAAUGUGCUCGCACACACCAUCUCAACUGGUCCUCAAAAGAAUCUUACAGAAAUAGAAGCAUAUGAGGGAAUAAAGGAUGUGACAGAGACCACUCGGUUCCAUCACUUGUUAACCCUGGGAACUUGGAGUAUUGAAAUCAAAUAGGUACUUAAAGCAUAUCUCAACAUGGAGCAUCCAUGCUUCAAGGGUUUAGUAACCAUCUGCAUCUAGUGGCUAUUGCCCUGGACAGUGCUUAAGGGAAGGCCAAGAAGAGAAUGGGGAAGAAUGAAGGGUAUUGGCAGCUUCAUCCGGUUCACCUCAGUGCUCUCCCAGAGAAAGAGGCGACAUGCCUGCCUAGAAGGAAAGUGAGGGAUGGAUGUGAAGGGAAGAUCGGAUUUGGAGCAGGUGCCAGGUGAGUCAAAAAGAGGUAAGAGGAGGAAAAGUUCCUUUAAAUGUUGGGUACCAUAAAUUUGCAAGGACCAGGUUUUUGCAGCAAAUUUUCUUUUAGGAGUUCAUAGUUGGAAGGACAGAGAAAGAAGACAGCAUAAAGACCAGUCCACAAUGCCUGGUGCAGUGAGCGUUACCAUAUUCAGUAACAAACAUUUAACAUGGGAGAGUGGGGGUGUGGCACAAUGAUGCCUCAGAGGACACUGAGAUGAUGAGCCGGCGUUCAGGUUGAGGAAAGAAACUAACACAAGCUGUCAGGCCAGGUUCUCAGUUCGGUUGCCAAGAAUAGCCUGGUAUGAUUUUGAAGGAUACUGAUGCCUGGGCCCGGCCCACAGAGACUGUGAUUUAAUUGAUCUGGGCUGAGGUCUGGAGCAUCUGUGUUUUUAAAAGUGUCCCCAGGUGAGCAACCCUGCAGUAAGGAGAUACAGAUGGGGAAAAGCAGAAGGGGUUAGGGGACUGAAGGUUCUACUGAGGAUAGAGUACAGGAUGAAGUAAAAAUGCUAUUUAUGGUCUCAGGUCUGAAAAUUCCCAGGAAAAAGAAGGAUCUGACUUUACAUAAAAGAAAGUAUCUAUGUUUUAGGAUCCAAAUGUGAUCUCAGCUAGUUUCCACUGGACAGACGUCAUUAUUCCCUGACAGUCAUAAUUGGCACUGUGGUAGGCAGAUGGUUGAACGGUAAAAGAAACUUUACAAAAAAAAAAAGUUAUUUCAAAAAGAAAGUUGCCUACCCACAACAGACUUGCAGGGUCUUUCUGAGGCCAAGUGCGACAGAGGAGAGACAAGUGUCGAGAGGACACAGGAUGCUCAGGAAAUCUCAUCUUGGCCAGACCCAAGGUCAGUCAUUUCAGCUGAUCACAAGAGACCUCCUGUGGGAGGCCUUGGAGCACCUCUCUGACUCCAACUGUAAAAAUCAGGCUUAGCCCUGGUUUUCUUAGUAGCCAUUUAUGGCUCUCAUUCAUAAAUUUGGCUAAGAGGUUUUUGAAUUCAUUUACAUUUCCUGCCAGCACCACCUUUUGGGACCAAAGAGCUCCAUAAGUUUAUAACCUGCUGUGUGAAGUAGAUUUCCUUUCAUUUUCCCUAAACUUACUUCACUGUGUUUUAAAGAGUGCCCUCCUUGUCCUAAAAAGAAAAAGUAAACAGGAUUAUAAGAUGAGGACAGAUUGGCUGAAGUAAGCAGGGCAGAAAAAGAGCUAGGUGUUAUAAGGAACCACAGACUACCUUAAAUCCGAAGUAUAGUUUUAAAAGACAAACAUGGCUGGAAUGCGUGACCAAGAGGGGAGCUGAGUGUGCCACACAACAAUGGCUCCAUUGUUCUCAGAACCCCCUAGACCCUUCCAGGGGCUCUGCAUCCUGUUUGGGGCACCACUGCUCAAAUGAAAGGGAGAACUUGAAUGUUUAGCAGAUAUCAAUAAUACUGAUUAAAUCACUGGAAAAGAAAGAAAAAUUCAACAAAUGUGGACUUUUCUGGUUAGAGAAAAGAAAACUGUUCCAUACAAACGGAUCUAGGAUAUGACGUAUAAAAUGGAAAAUAGUUGUUCUACAUUUGAGUUAAAACACAAAGAGAAGGAACCGGCAUCAGAUGGUCGUUCAGCUUUGCCAUGAGAAGGAAGCUCCCGACACUGGCAGUUAUAUGUAGGACUGAGAAAACUAUGCAUUUCUUAAAAAUUCCUAUUUCCAGAAUGAUUUGGGGCUCAUCUUGUCUUUGCACUUGCCUCAACGGAUUUUAAAGACAGCUAACUGAGUUAUUUACCUAACAUGCUUAGGAAAUAAGCACCUUAGAAAAUAAAGAAAUUUGUGGUUAAAAUAUUAA